rnacentral:rRNA from 1 species
GAUGAACGCUAGCUACAGGCUUAACACAUGCAAGUCGAGGGGAAACGAUAUUGGAAGCUUGCUUCCGAUAGGCGUCGACCGGCGCACGGGUGAGUAACGCGUAUCCAACCUGCCCAUCACUUGGGGAUAACCUUGCGAAAGUAAGACUAAUACCCAAUGACGUCUCUAGAAGACAUCUGAAAGAGAUUAAAGAUUUAUCGGUGAUGGAUGGGGAUGCGUCUGAUUAGCUUGUUGGCGGGGUGACGGCCCACCAAGGUGACGAUCAGUAGGGGUUCUGAGAGGAAGGUCCCCCACAUUGGAACUGAGACACGGUCCAAACUCCUACGGGAGGCAGCAGUGAGGAAUAUUGGUCAAUGGGCGAGAGCUUGAACCAGCCAAGUAGCGUGCAGGAAGACGGCCCUAUGGGUUGUAAACUGCUUUUAUAAGGGAAUAAAGUGGGAGUCGUGACUCCUUUUGCAUGUACCUUAUGAAUAAGGACCGGCUAAUUCCGUGCCAGCCGCCGCCGUAA